GGUUCUAUAAUCCUUAGGUGAUCAAGAGGAUCCGUGGAACCAUCAUAUGGCUCCAAUUGAGAUACUUUGAACUGAUUUGGGAUCCGUUCACCUAGAAUAGUCAGGGAGAAUGGUGGUUGAGGGUUGAAAUCGAAGCCAUUAUUUUUUUGAUGAGACCCAUUCUGGACUUCACCAAAGCAGCAUUCAAUAUCUUGAACUCUUCUCUUGAGUUCCUCCUCUCACUGAAUUCUUCUAGGCCUAGAGAAGCAAGUCGGGAUCAAAUCAUUAGC
rnacentral:lncRNA from 1 species